AUAUUAAGACGUUUGGAGGUACGUAUAUUAAAAUGGGAAUGAUAUGGAGAAGAUUAGCAUCACCCAUGCGCAAGGUUGACAUGCAAAAUUUUCUUCUGGAAAAUUCUUCU